CCAAACAAUUUAUAAAAAUAAUUGUGCUUUGUUCUGUAUAUUUAUCUAAUCCGAUAAAUUUGCCUGACACGAAGGAUACUGAUGCAUCUUGGCUUGUUCUGAUGUUCAGUGGAAGAAGAAGAGAAUGAGGAGGCUCAAAAGGAAGCGCCGAAAGAUGAGGCAGAGAUCCAAGUAGGCUUGCCUGGAGGAUGAAGGGAACUGUCUGUUGCAUUGUGACCUAGGCUUGUUAGGAUAAACACCCCGACGUGCUUUGGUGUAGAUGCAGGAGAUGUUUACCUUCUUGGGGUCUAGUUUUAUUUUUAGCUCAUCAAAACUCUGGUCAUGUUCUAAGGCUGGGUUUUAUGUAAUGUGAGGAUAAUAUGUUGCUUUGUGACUGAGUUUAUGCAGUUAAACGAGAUUUCUUGCACUAAAAAAUAUACUUACUGCCUAUCUGUUACCCUUGUGAUCGGUAGUUGUUUCCGUUAUCUGUGCUGUUUUCUCACGCGCUGUGGCAAUUUUCAGAAUCUCAGGAUGUUUUGCAUUGCUCCAUGGUGUAGAUGGAAUAGUUGCUUUGUUUUUGGUUGAGGCAUGACUGCAUCACUUGUUGAUUACAGAGCAGAGAGCGCUGGUGUUUAUGAGUUACAUUGGAUUUGUAUUGCUGUUGAGUUGUUAAUUACUGGAGUUUUAUAUCUCGUAUAGCUCUGGUGUUCUACUUUGCUUCGAUAAAUGAUGCCAUUUUAGCAGGCGAUUCUAAUUCUGCUGUCAGCUCCUGAUAUGUCAUGUUGAGAUCACUCCAUUGAGAUUAUGUGAAUCUUGAACUGUGUGCAAUUCGAAAUUGUAGAAAUAAUUGACUGCUUUGGGAUGGGAUUUGGGUUUGCAAUAUGUGGAGGAACAACAUAGACCUGUCUGGUUCAAACAGGCGUCAGUGAAAAAGCCUUCAGUGAACUCGUGGCGUCGACUCGUGAACUCUGAAACAGAUGAGGUGCAGGUGCACAAUAGAGACGGCUGGCCUCGCACCUGCACCAGCACCACUCCCUUAUCCGCUGGGCCUAGCAUGAAUUUGUUCGUAACCGUUUAUAUUCCUGCCAGCCUGAUCCCUGCACUAGAACUGAGAGCUUCUCAACUCAUCCGUUAAUGGAGGCCAUAGUCAGGGCAGGUGUAUCUUCCUCGGCGCCGGCGCAGCUACGCCCGUGCCCGAUGCCGUGCCGCAACCGCUGCCUACCGUCCUCCGUGCGCCGUCCCGGACGCCGGGGAGUUGCCUGCUCGGCCUCGGCGGCCGACGCCGACGUCGUCGAUCUCUUCGAUGCCGCCAAGCUCACGGUAUGGUAGUGAGAUACCUCACCGUUCGUUCGUGAGCAAGCCGUGUAUGUUCUCCAACGAAUUUUUGUUCUCUGUAGGUGGACAGGUUCGUGCAGAGCGGCAUGGUGGUCGGGCUAGGCUCCGGCCCGGCGUCCGCCCUGGCGGUCCAGUACCUCGGCACGCGCCUCCGCCGGGGAUCUCUCACCGAAAUCGUCGCAGUAACCUCGUAAGUUCUGAAUUUCUGAUUGCCAUUGCAUGAUCUGUUCCUUCUUCGUCACAGACUCAGAGUAACCUAGUAACUCUGAAUUUCUGUUUUCUGAUUGCCACUGCAUGAUCUGUUCCUUCCUUUGUGCAUGAAAGUGCUUCUUUUCUCAUCAGACACUCGAAUCAGUUUGCAUCUAAUCAGCUCUUGGGAUUGAUUGACCAGCCAGGUCCGUGCUCAGUGCGAGCGAGGCAGACAAGGCCGGAAUACGGGCUAGCAGCUAUCAGGAAGGAACCCAAGUGAGUAUGCGCAGUGCUGUACGCCUGUAACCAUCAGCUGUAAACCUCUUCUUACAACACGGGAAGAACAGCAUCUGAAACUGUGCUCUGCUCACUGACGUAUAGAUUGAUUUUGCUUUCACUGAUGCUGAAGUAAUCGAAGAGGGCACGCUGGCUGCCGUCAUCGGGCGGCGCAAGACCGAGAGUGGAGAGCCCUCUUUCAUGGUGGAGAAGGUAUUUGACUACUUAAUCAAUGUCUUCAGAGUUAGCGCGUGCAUGGAUUUCUGAUGGAUAAUCAUUCGUAUGUAGGCAACAGUAAUAGAUGCAUUGCAUAUCUGAACCAUUUAUUUGAUUUCAACCAUGUUGUCCCAUGUGUUAUACAGGCAAUGGUUAAAUCAGCUGAUAAACUUGCCUUCAUCACUGGAAAUGACAAAUACCUGACAGGUGUUGAGGGUUCCAUUCCAGUCAUAGUUAAAAGUGUAAGGAAAAAAAAAUCCUGUUGCUUCAGAUAUGGUCAGUUUUAUACAAUGUUUAUGAAGAGAGGAACAGAUGAUUUCAGGGAAAUUGGAUAGACACUGCUGAAGAGAUCGACGAUUUGUUCCUAGGGGAUGCAGAGGUGCCCUCAUCCAUACGAAUACUCAAUAGUUAAAUUUUCAGAACUCGAAUACCUGCUGGACUGCUGAAACUGAAACGCUCAUGAAUGUUUGGUCACCAUUGUAUGCGAUUUUCUGAUCAGGUUUGGAGGAGGCCAUCAUUUGGGACUGCCGGUCCACUAGGGGGUGAUCACCCAUUGGUCACUAAGGAGGGUCAUCACGUUCUUGAUGUGAUCUUUACGACUCCAAUCCCAGAUCUAGGUAAGCUGAUGGAAGAUCAUUGCAACAAAGGGGCUAAACUCAUCUUGAGUCCAUUAGACCAUUUCUUGGGCCAAAGCUUUAGCUGGUUGCUUUGCCAUAUUUAUUGCAGGUCAGGUAGCAGAGAAGUUGGACAAAGUUGCUGGCGUUGUGGAUCAUGGGAUUAUUUGUAGCAACCAGUAAUUUUCUUAACGCAAGCAUACAGAAUAAUAUUUUUAAUUAAUUUUGUGGGGAUGGUUUACGGAGGUGUGUUUCAGGUUUUCUUUUUCCCCCAAAAAGGUGCUUCUCAGUGUUCUUACACGCUGCAUCUCCUGCCCUGCAGAUCGUAUGCGGUGAUUGCAUCCAAGGGGGAAGUGCAGGUUAUUGAGGAGAAACCCUCGGUGAUACCGUAGCGCUGCAGAAAUCUUCCAGUUGCCUGCAGAGGCGCCAUUUUUCUCCACACAUUCCGGAUAAGAGUACUUCCAGGUUGGCUGGAAAAUGCCUGAGAGUUAAAUAAUAUAGUAGCACCAAAUGUAAUCUCUUCAGUAUCCAACACUCUAUGCACCAGUAUGCAAAACCUUCCACUUCGUGUGCAAUGAAGAUCAACAAAUCUGCAGUCACAGACUGUUAACAUGCCGAAAACACCAUUUUCCAUGGCAGGUUACUGAUAACUAUGCUCGUAGGUCCAAAAAAAUUAGUUGGGCAGCAAAGCAAGUAUGCUUGACAGAAUGUCGACUGACAAAUACUAGCGCUUUGCAAUUUUCAUCCAGGAUACAUAAAAUGGCAGUGUUGAACCGCAGGACUUCCUCUUCCUGGCUUCUUGUCCCACAUGUCAUAGAAACAUUUUCUUGCCAAAAAUUUUCACAAAUGUGGCUUCAAUAUUGCUAGCCAAAAUGAUUUUGGCAGCCACAAGUCGCCUAAUGUUAAGGUUAGGCACCAACCAAACAGAAAGCUCCACCUCCCAGCUCCAAUCCAAGCAGCCGUCAGAGACAUACAGUACUAAUAAAACUUUUUUAGGGAAUGCUAUUGUUUCGCCCAAAAAGCAGAAACUGCAAGCACAAGUGCACAACAUGUUCAGUUCCCCAACUAUGCCUGAACUCUAAAACACACACAGAGAGAUCAAUACAAUUUCUUGAUUCAUAUGGCUCGUUCUUUCUAAUCAUGUGACACGGCAAAGUUCUUGCCGUUAUCCCGAAUAAAAAGAUAUAAUCCAUACGGCUGACAGAUAUCUCUAAAUAAACACAACUAGCAAUCAUAUUUACGCUGCAACCUCAGCACACAAGGAACGUCUGUAAGCAACUUGAAAAGAUGUGUCAUUAUCUCCUUACUCCUGCUUUUUCUCCAACACCACCUUCCUGCUGUCGAAGAAAAACAGUUUAGAACAAUUUAGAAGACGUGCAAGUUCCGUCAAGUUUAGCUAGAGACAUUAGUAGGUUUCAUGAAUUCAGCAGACAUAUACAAAUGAAGGGCGUGGUUGUAUCACGGUACAACAACCUGAGUAGCUACAGGACAUUUGGCCUGUUCGUUUCAGCUUAUUCAGCCGGUUUAUCAGCCACCAAACAGUAUUUUCCUUUCACAACAAAUCAGUCGUUUCAGCUUUUCAGCCGGCUUAUAAGCUGAAGCGAACAGGUCCGCCUUCAGGCAGUCACAUGAAGAUGCCACUCCUUGGCGUCUCGUUGCCCGGAGGAAUCACCAUGGCGAAGAAAUUGGAAGGCAGCUCCGUGAAAGUGAAGCCAUCCGAGCGUCACUACAUAAAACGAUUUGUAGGGCACCCCAUAUUUUAUUUUUAUAAGGAUAGGCGAAAUUGCUAUCCGCAUCUACAAAACGGAUCGCUAUUGUAGCAUACGACCUACCCGUGGAGAACCAUUUGUAGGGAUGGGCCACGGGACGACCCGCCCCUGGGGGGCGAUUUCGAUUUUCAUGGGCGGGCGAUGGGGUGUCCCGUCCAUGGAAAUCACAAUUUGCAAGGGGCGAGUGACGGUAUCACCCGCUCCCGAAAAUUAUUUCCAGUAACGAGUGAUGACGUGGGCCGCUUCUAGAAAUGGUACAAUUUCUUGAUGCAUGAAUGCGCCAUGAACAUCCUUAGCAGAACACUUUGCAUGGUGCCUCAUUGCCUUCUUGAAUGUGAAUAUGGCAAGAAACAAGUUCACAAAAAUAUAAACCGUAGCUCAAAAAAUAAGUGUCAUAUAUAAACCAACAUAUAAAUCAUGUCACAACUCAACAUAACCACAACCAAAUGAUAGAUCCCACAGAACAGAUAAGACAUGUCACAUUACAUAUAAAGUUUGUAGAUCACAACUCAACAUAACCAAAUAACAAAUUCCACGCAACAGAAACAAAACCAAGAUUCAUUGACAAAUAACACUACUACACUAUCCAUUUCUUCACUUAGCAUUAGCUACUCCUAAGGCAAAUAUCCCAAGCAUAACACCUACAAUCAAGGUCACAACAGUAGUGAUGACAGCCACGUUGCAUGCACCCCCAACAGUCUUUUUUUUCUGGCCACAACAGCCUUGUUUUCUUUCCCAAAAGAUGCUUCAACUCUCCCACUUCCAACUUUAGUUUAUUAACAUUCCCUUUCAUUUCUCCACACUGGAUCUUCAAUUCACACAUCUCCAUCUUCAGAUCACAAAUUGCCAAUUUUAUUUGACUUAUCUCAUUCAACAUGCCAUUGCUUGCCAACGGCUCAGGAGGCUGAAAUCCAGCACUUGACUGAGCUGCUGCUGUUCCUGGAGCAAUACCUGCCAAUUGAUAGUUUGGAGGCAUCGAAUGGGGAAAUUUUUUCCUUCAAAUGGUUCAAGUACUGAGGCUCAAACCAGUAUUGGUCAUAUAUUCUAGAAUCUCCCUACUUCAACAACACAAAUGCAACUCAACCCUUUGGUUCCAACACGGUUGAUUCCAUGAUGUUAGGGUUGCAAUCUUACCUUAGUGUUGUUGGGGUACUUGUAGAAGAUGUAGCCCCCAUUGCUCCUGAGCCAAAUCACCCUUAUUCCGCAUUUAUGGCAGUCGACGAGGGGAAGUUGCACGAACUGGUUGCGACUUGGUACCAACGAUGGGAAGCUGCUCGACAUAACCUUCACUUGCUUGUUCUCGACGGAUGUCGAGGAGCUAGAGGACAGUGAGAAGUUCAACAACUUGCCUUGCCCCCCUUGGCCUCCUUUGCGGCAGCGGAAGCUGUGGCGGCGUGCGGCAGCGGUGGAAGCUAUGGCGGUGUGGCUGCGACGGCGAAGGUGAAAGCAUACCGGCGGCAUGCCCGCAUGGAAGGAGGUGUCGUGGGAGGAGAGCGCCACGGUGGCGGCCCGAGCGCGGAAGGAGGCGCUGCGAAUGGAAGGCGCCGUGGGAGGAGGGAAGGAGGCGCGACGCUGCGGCAUGGCGGUGGAGGCGUCGCGGGGAGGCGCUGCGGCGGCGGAGCACGCGGGGGAGGGGAGCGGCGCCGGAGCGGGGGCGGAAGGAGGGGCCGGGGAAAUUUUGACAGCCUAACGGCGUCCCGCGGGCUUCUCCAAAAAUUUGGCUUAGUAACCGUGGGCGCCACUAUAUAUAUAGGGUGGCAUUAGCAGCACCUGGAAAUCAUUUCUUCAUUUUUUUUCUAAAAUGUAUUUUGGAGCUAUUAAAUGAUCUUAAAUGCAAAAGUUAUCAACUGCAAAGUUUAAUGUCUCGUUGAGCUCCACAAUUUUGAUAUAAAGUUUUUAUUUAUCCAAGAAGAAAUGAAAAUUUCAAAAAAUACAUUCACUAAACACAUUCACAUGUACUCACACAUAUACUCAUACAUUCACAUAUACUUUGCGGUGAAUAUGUGUGUUUAGUGGAUGUAUUUUUUUAAUACAAAAUAUUUUUAAUUUCAUCUCGGAUGGAUACAAACUUUAUAUCAAAAUUAUAGAGAUCAAUGAGAUAUUAAACUUUGCAGUUGACAACUUUUGCAUUUAAGAUCAUUUAAUAGCUCCAAAAUACAUUUUAGAAGAAAAAUAAAAAUGGAGAAAAUAUUUCCAGCCAUCACCCGCACUUGGAAAUCGUUUCUAGGGGCGGGUGGUGACGUCACCCGCCCCUGCUAAAUGGUAGCCUAUAUAUGGUGGCGCUCGCGGGGACUUAGCCAAAUUUUUUCUUGAAAAAUGUAGACGUUUAACAUUUGAAAUUAGGGUUCAACAUUUCGUUCAACUUUUUUUCGAAAAAAUGUUGGUGAACAUUUUUUUAUCCAACAUUUUUCCAGUUGAAAUGUUGAAUAGACCAUCAUCAGUUGGAUCUUGGUGGCUUUGAAAUGGAUCAGUUGGAUCUGGUGGCUUUGAAAUGGAACGGAACUGCGAAGCUAAGCUUUAUAUCAUCAGCUGGACCUUGGUGACUUUGAAACGGAACGGAACUCCGAAGCUAAGCUUUAGCUCAAACGCUUAUCCAUCUUACAGCCGGUAGACUAGUAGUAACAGGGUUCUCUAAAAAAAAUAAAAGUAGUAACAGGGGGAAUGUGCUUGAUAGGUGAUAGCAGCAUAAGAUCAUCUAGAAGUUUUUUCUCCAACAGAAAAGAUAAAGAGGUGCUGCCAGAUCCUUCACCGCAGCAACCGGCGGAGGUAACAAAUGACGCAUCAGCUGAAUGACUCAUACAACAAAUAGCACAUCGACUGAAGACACAUACAACGAAUAUGAGGAUGAGAACAAGGAACCUUUGCCAGCCUCAGGAGCUCAGGAUCAGUGAAUCCCUGACCCCGAGCGCUGCUGCAACCUGAGCAAGUCCAAAUUGCAAAUUCAACAGAUCAAUUUGAUUAAAUGACCACCAAUCCACCAUAUAUCCUCCAGCAAGCUGGUCACUAGUACUGUAUCAGAAGAUGUUUACAACAACCGAACAUCCUGGGGUUUCCAGACAACACCCAUUUUCAAGUUGCAUCUCGCUAUCAGAAACUGGCCUAAUAUACUCUUUCCCCAACAUGCAUAGUGCUUUUUUUUAAUAAUUUCUUCAACGAAAGGAGGACUUAAGUACAGCAGGGGCGACAGAACAGCUAGUAAGGUAGAGUAGAACAGCCAUUGAUAGCCCCCCUGUUGAAUUUGAUGCUGAGGUUUUGUCUAAUUGAAGAAACAGCAUUGCCACCUAACUAGAGAUUUUUUUCCUCCAGCUAAAGUCAAAAGUCCAAAAUUCAUACUCUGACACCACCUCUAUUCUGAAUCGCUCUCCAGGCUUAGAGCCUUCAAGCCUCUAGCCCUCUGCAUGAUGUUUCACUCAUGUAAGUAACAAGCAUUCAACGGAACAGAGGUAGAAUACAUGCUUCUUGAAGCAAAACAAAUUUAAUUGUAUCCAGGUUACCUUUUUUGAACUCUUCUUCUCUCGAACUUCAUAUCUCUCAUGUGACAGAUCUGACAACCAAGCUCCUGGGCUCACCAUCUGUGAUUAUACCGCAAAAUGAAUCAGACAACAGUGUAAAAAAACAGAGAGCACUAUAACAGCAACAAAGAAAACAGAAGUUGAAAUCAAGUUUUUGAGCUUGAUCAUUACAAGCAAGCACUUCUGCAUCAGCUUGGGUCUUUUCUUUGGCCUCUGUGGGAGCUUGCAGCCCUUCAUUGCCAUGAAAUCCUCCUCCUUCUCCUUGUUAGACAAUGCAAUGAAGAACCUUGGCAACGCAGUGGUUCCCUUGUCCUCUGUUAAACCACCAAAAUCGAACCCAUUCCCCUCAAAAGGAAAUGGAGAACCCCUAGUGGAGUAAUACCGGUCCUUCUCUGGGGAGAGUGCCAUUGACUGCUUGUACUCGUUCGCUGGUGAAUCCGAUUUCCUGCUCACAUAGUAAGGUAUUUUGAGCACUGUACUAGGGCACCUGCUGGUAUUGCAGCGGGCAAUUCGAAUAAAGCCUGAAUACACUGAAUCUACCUGCGUUGAAGGGUGCUUGGGCGGCGUGGCGAACGAAAUGGUGCAAUGUCAGCUCCGAGAAGAGGCCGGGUUGCACGGGGCACAACACGUCUAAGAACUUCAGAUGGCGAGGGUGAUGGUGAGCCGUCAUCGCGCGUCUUGACACAGCGCAGCCGCUUCCGGCUUCCCCAUUGCAGGAAGAGGUUUGGCUCGCUGGGAGACCUCGAGGGCCUUGAGUCCUUCACCUCCUGAUCCAUCCGUACCCUGAAAGUGAACGCAGGUAGUUAGGUACCGAGUAGAAACUUAAGUCAAUGGAGCAACUUCGGAUCAAAGUUCCAGUGGAUUUUGGGAAGAGAGGAGGAUGGGCACUCAAAUCAAAGCAAAAUCUUGCCCCGAAAUUCAUCAAAAAAAAAAUCCUGCCCAACACACGAAGCAAGUGCCCCCUCUCCAUCCAAACACCUAGUGCCCUCUUAUCUUACCAUCACCAGCUAGAAUGAGAAAAGAAAUAGAACUCGAUCUUAUCUGAGCACAUCUGCUUUGCACAAGGACUCUAGAAGGGGGAACGGAGCAUGCACUAGAACUAGAAAGCGGAGAAAAAUACUUGUUUUAUUCCAAAACAAAUCUAAUCCUUCUCUUCAAAAGGUAUCCGCUAGCUGAUACAAGCAAAUCAGACGCCCCCAAGCAGGGGCAGACCCAAGGAUGGCAAUCUUUACACAAAAAAACGAAGUUUGCCGGUUGUAAUACAUUUGCAACUUCGAAUUGGGUCAGAUCCGAAUACCAAUAGCUUUGGGGCGCUCAGUUUCGCACAGCGGGAAGGGACGAGAUGGGGCGGACGUACCGGGUGGGUGCUCGUCGGCGGCGAAGAGCCCGGCGAAGACGGGGCAAAGGGCGGCGCCGCUCGCCCAGUCGGCGCCGCAAGGCCACGAGAGAGAGGACAGGAAGGGGCAGGCAGGCAGACUGAGAGAGAGAGCUGCACGGGAGGAAAACAAAAGAUUAGGGGUGAAGGCGCACGCGGCACGCCGCAGUCAGCGACGCGCUCGGGCCGUGUCGAAGUAGUUCUCGUUCGGCCCAAGAAGGUCCCGUUCGAAUAAAAAGAAGCCUGGCCAUAUUUGCCGUGUUGGUUGUUUGUAGCACUCGGCCCAACGUUGGAUUGGGGCCUGGUCCGUUCGAACAAAAGCCUGAUCUGACCUGUGUGCGUGGGGGGCAUCUUCCAGCGUGAUCAGAAAUCUAGGGAAUCCAACGAAGGAGAAAAAAAAAUCAACCUUCACAUAUCCUAUAAAAACCACCCGGAGAUCUAGAGAAUUUACAAAUCACAGGGCAACUCUACCAUAUAUCACCAAAAAAAAUCUGAAAUUUAACUUAUCACCUAGCACUGCUACCACAUCACCACGCACCUGUACAACAUCACUUAGAGAGACAUGUAAUUUAACAUAUCGCGCUACCAUAUCAACAAGCAAUGCAAAUAUAACACAUUCACGGCGCGCGACACCAAACAAUCAUGUUAGGCAAGGAUCAUAGCAAUGAAUUACUUGGGAGACAUCUCCCAAAAAAAACACUUGUGGCCUGUUCGCUUCAGCUUAUAAGCCGGCUGAAAAGCUGAAACGGCUGAUUUGUUGUGAGAGGAAAACACUGUUUGGUGGCUGAUAAGCCGGCUGAAUAAGCUGAAGUGAACAGGCCGUUAGUUUUUAAUGUUUCACAGGUGCAUUAAGACUAAAUCGCUAUUAUAGAUAGGCAAUGAUUAUAGAUUGUAGUAAUAUCAUGAACUGCAAAAGCAAAACAAGCCACAUGAGAUAUCUUUGCCAAUUUGAACAUUGUCAUUAAUAUGUCACUAACCUAAUAAGUGCACAUCCAGCAUGGUACCCUGAUUCCAAUUCAUCCUUCACAACAAAAAAGAAGAAGCUUAGAGCAAUGAUAGGCUGAUAUCUAUGUCACGUUAGCUAGAGAAUUUCAAAACUUGUAAAUCAACCUAGCUAGAGAAAUAUAGAAGUAAGAUUUCACGAAUUCAAAAAGUAACUGAACAAUUCAAUCAAAUCAAGUGGUGCAGUGGUAAAACUUAUAAUUAACAAUUUGGGCAGCCGCAAGACUUUACUUCGGGUCAAUGACUAUUGGGUGAAGAUGUCUCUCAAAUUUCUUUGGCCUGGCAGUGAUAGGCGUCCAAACCAAUAGACUCUCGAGAUAGGCAGCUCAACAUUUACAGAUGUAAUCCUCCAUAGGAUCCUCCUUCUCUUAGGCUUCUUAUCACUACCAUCCACCAUCAGGAUGGAAAACUUGGGCUCCAUCGCCGGCAACUGUUCUUUCUUAAGCUUCACAGCCUCCAGAGAUCUUUGGCUAGGAACUUCUUAUAAUUCCUCCACAUAUUGGUUGCAGGAUCAAAGUUCCACACAGAGAUGUUGACAUCGCCAAGUGGCUAGGAAUGAUCAAUGUACACAAACUUGAUAAAGCUGACAACAUAGGCCAUCAUCCUGGUCAUGGGAAAUGCGUCUGAUAGCUCAAACCUGGGUUUCGUCCACCUCUCGUCAGGCGACCUAUGAACCCAAAAUCCACUACUGCACCACCGUCAGCUAGGGCCAAUUGCAGUGCGCGAGUCGCUUGUGCUACCGCUGCAGCUGCCCAGCGCAACUGCUCAGCUGCAAACCCCAAACAGCUGCAACCUGAUCACUAAAGCUAAUGACUUGCACAACAAACAAAUACAGAACCAAUAGUUUGUAUAGUAAAAGAACAGUCUCACUGUUCUGGUUGUUGUAUAGCUGCAGCAAGCUGUUCCGAGCACUGCCGACAUCGGCGGCGAACAAAUCCUGAAACGACUGCUCUGGGAGGUUCCACCUUAGCACAUGCUAUCGACACUGUUCGUCCGUAGGUGCAGGCAGUGACCAACACAGACAACAUCCUCCGUGCGCCGCUCCAUUUGCUUUCAUGCCGCAAAGCACGUCAUAGUUGACUCGGAUGUACAAGGCUGAGAUGAAGUCCGGGGUGGAGUCAAUGAGGCAGGCCUAGAGGGUGAGCCCCUCCACCACCCUCUGGCCAUGCACUUUGCAGCUGGAGGACUUCUUGAUCGGGCAGUUGAUGUUCGUCCACUCCUGCUGUAGCCACACAGGUUGCACGGGAGGCCUUUUUCAUAUCACGAAGCGCUUCAACUCGAACGAGGACGACACAUAUUUUGUCAGCGCGAGCCAUAGAUGGGGGAAAUACCGGGCUGUGGCCGCAACCACGGUUUUCGCACACGCGGCGGUGGCUAUGGCUAGCGCACGAAGUUGUACGGUGUAAGAGGAUGAGGGACCCACAUGCUUCGUUGCAUGCGGGAUUCACGUGGAUCCAACAGGUGGAUGGUGGAUGUAGUGUCAAAAAACAUAUUGUGACACGCGAAUACAACUUUUUUCCCAUUUUUCCAUUUAUACUCAAGUAAAUAUCAUUUAUGCGUAUAGGUCAUGUGCAUUAGUUGUUUAACAACAUUUGCAAAAAUUAUGACAAACAUUAUACAUAUAAAUUGUAUAUAUCAUAAAGGUUGUGCUACAAAAUUUAUUGUAAGGAAAAAUACGCAUGUAAAUUGUUUGUAUAAGUUAUGACUUUUUAAAAAUGAAAAUUUGAAGUUGUCCUUUAGAAUUGCACUUGGAAGUGCUACGCAUAAGUUAUGCAUUCCAUUAAAGUUGUGCUGAAAAAUUAUCUCAUAAGAAUUUUUAAUACGAAGUUAUGUGUAUAAGUUAUGAUAUUUCAAAAAAUAAAAAGUUGUUGGAAUUUAUUUUCCGAAAACUAGAAAGUUCGAAGAAGUGUAGUGGGCUGUCGGGAAUCAAGCAGCCCUCCUGGUGAGCGCGCUCCAUUAGUGUUGGUGCUGUUAUAUAUCAGCGAACGUGAUAAAAAAAAACCCCAUAGCAUUGGUGCUGCUAUAUAUCACCGAAGGUGAUAAAAAACCCACUGUUGCCUUCAUUUUCACCCAGCAGCUUCCUCCGCCUCGGCACAAUGAGUGGCCCACUCGAGGUCAUUCUCCUCCUUCGGUCCUUCCUCCCGAUGAACACAAUACCACCGCCUUCUUCCCCCGCGCCGCCAUCCUCCUCCAUCUCCGGUGGUAGGAGAUACCGGAUCCGCUGCCCCAUCGCCCUCUCCUCCAGUUCACACUCCUCUCUUCUCAUUCGCCCCCCGCACCAACCUCCUGCACUGUCUCCGACGGCUCCUGCCGUCAGAUUCGUCGCCACCGGCCGCCAUCGCUCUAACCCGGCUCUGCCGGGGAGCUCACCGCUAUGGCCCUACCUCCUCCACCGCCCAUCGAUUGUCCUCCACCACCUGCGGCUGGCGGCACCCCGCCGCCUCGCCACCACCUCCGGCUACCUUCCACCCAAGACUUCCCCUCUACAACCGGAAGCUCACCGGCGACCCUAACACCAUAGCAACCUGAAACCGAACCCUAAGCUCCUAACCCUAGCCAUGGCCUCAGCGGCUACGGGAGGAAGACGACGGCAACAUUGCUCGGCCAUCGUGGGCCGUCGUCCGCGCCUUCAUGCGACAACUUGCAAAUUUGUCGCCUUCACCCAUUAGCAUUGCCCGUGAUCAGAACAGUUGGCCAGGAAACCAGGUAUAACCACGCGGCAGCAUAUAGCAUACAGAUACUCGAGGACCAUCCCAACCAAAACGCGUGGACGUUUCGUUAGUUCAAACAUUCCUCCGAUCGCUCUAGCCUUCAGCACUCCGCUGGCUUUGAAAAGUGAACCCAGAUCGCUGACUACGAAUUUUGACGAACCCUGGACGAGUCAUUUCUUGACGCAAAGGAAGAGGACACACGGUCAGGCAGAAAAUCCUCUAGAAGAAGUCGAGACUCGUACGGCGCGUGCCCCCGGCCGAUUCAAAAAGUUCAUCUCCGUAUGACGCAGCCGGUCCGGUCCAAACACCGAAAGCAACGAGGCCGUCAACGCUUUCCAUCACCGUCUGGGCUUCGUUCCGUCCGACCGACGCCACACCUCACGUACUCCCUCAAGUCAUCAUCUGCGUCCCAGUCUGUAUCACAUGCUCUGCUGCAGCUGAACAGCCCUGCAUACUUGGUGGAGGGGAAAGGUAGGCGACGGAACCAACGCAACCUCUGACCUCUCUUUUCGGCAAACCAUGGCGUCGUGGCUGUUGCUCCGGAGGAUCCAAUCUGCUGGCCGUCUAUCCGGCGGCCAUGGCCGGCUGCUCAGCUUCAGGGGCGGCGAGGGGCUCUGCCGUCCUCUUCCCCCGGCGGGCGAGCCAUCAGUCUGCAGCAGUGCCUACGGGCAAAUCAAGACAGACACCAGGAUCACGGUUUGUUCCUUUCCUCCCUUUCUCAAGUUCAAUUCCAGAAUCAUAGGACCUAGUUAAAUUUCGGUUUUUCAUACCUUCCAAGAAGAAAUGCGUUCAGAUAAUUUCAUCUGGACCAUUUCUGUGUCUUCUUCUUUGCGUGUAUGUAUCCAUCGUUUCUGCUGAAAAGUCUUCUGAUGCUUAUUUCAAAAAAAAAAAACGGUCUUCUGAUGCUUGCUGCUUGCGAUAUACGUGCAGAACCAUGAGCCACAUCUCGACAGGUUUUCAGAUCCCCAGGUUGCUCAUGAGGACCGUCAGUUCAUUCAGUUCUUGGACAGGAUGCUGGAUGCGAUGAGGAACCCUCAAAGUCUUGCGCUAAUACAGCGUGGGAGGCUGGCAAGUGGGCUGAAAGCAUUGGAUGAUGACAUAUGAGCCAAGUUCCCUCUGCAGACAUACAAGAGCCGAAUAAACGUGAAAAUUUGUGUUGUGUAAAAUGAUCCUGCUGUGUUUUCUGACUAACAUUGCACAAGUUUAGUGUGUUGAGACUGAUGCUGUUUAGGUUCAUUCCUAGUGGAUGAGAACAUCAACUUACUUGAAGCAAUUUCAUCUCUGAAGUGGGAACUGUUUUUCAAUAUCAAAUUGCCAAUAAUCUAUAAUAAAUUGUAGGCUUACCUUUGCUCAAAUGUUUUGGCCAACUCAACGGCCAGUAGAAGCGAAGAAUACAUCAUCUGCACUCAUACUUGUGCCUAAGCUUUCAUGUUGGCAACAUGCUAGCAACUAGCACUUCAAGCAUCCGACAACAAUUAUCACAGGCUCACAGGAAGACAUCUGAACAUGCCAAGCUUCUCUUUGAAAAUGUCGAUAUCAAAUAAUAACUUUCCACAUUUUUUUCCUUUGGUCUUUCGCAUCUUUUAAUGCUUGAGAUCAGGUAGAUAUCCCUAAUUCCUUACUGGCUGCAUUGCAUAUGAUGCUUCAGAUGACAACAAAGGGUUGGCAAAAGAAUUAUGCUAUACAAAAUAAAGUAUUAAGUUUAAUUUAAAACUCGUACCUGGAGAAACAAAAAAGAUA
rnacentral:lncRNA from 1 species